UCCGUUUGGCUUACCGCAACUGAAAAAACGAAAAAUCGAAACACCCAGCAUGGCAACGGUGGCAAAAAGCUUCUCGAAAACCUUAGAGACUCUAGAAGAUAAGCGCCGAAAAAAGACAGAAGAAUCAAAACCAUUGCUUCUUCCACAGAAGAAGCGCGUUUUACCUCCUACUAAUUCACCUAGUAGAUUAAAGAAAAGUCCAAAAUUAGACGAAAACGCUGCAGAAGAAACAAUAAUUAGAGAGACAGAGGCUGCUUUAAAAAAUUUAUCAGGUAGUUGGCCUGGACCAAGGGGAGGAUACCCGCAUCAAGUGGAUACGCCAACAUUCGAAAAUCUAUUUGAUGAAAAAAAGGCGUCUGUUAAAAUGUCACCAACUUCCAGUUCAAACAGCAGUAGCGACAAUGCUUCGUCUGUUAAAGAUGUUAUCACACUAAGAGAACAACACGAACAUGAAGAAACUUUCGAUGAAAAGUCAGGUAGUACGAACGGCAAAAGUAGCCCGAGAUCGACUGAUAGUAAACCAAAAAGUAGUAAAAUUCAAUAUUCGUCACCAGACUUUAACGAAUUGGUCGAUGAUUCUUCUAAUGAAUUAGAGAUUGAUAUGUCAGAAGCUGCUGCAGAGAAAAACGAAUCUAGCGGAAAACAAGAACAAGAAAAACGAAAAGAUCCUAAAUAUCCCUCCAGUAAUUCUUCGUUUCAUGCUUUUUCUCGCUCAUCUCCAUUUUCCACUACCUCUGCAUUUAGGCCUCCACAAUCUAAAAACCCUCCACUUGGUCCAUUUCCUGCAGAAGCUACUUUUGUUGGUUAUCCAGAAGGAGCACCAGUGGAGGAAAAGAAAAUAAUAGUUCCAUUGAAACCGUCAGAUAGCCAAACAGAAAUACAAAAGAGUCCCGAAGGUGUCAACAAACAGUAUACUAUUUUACAACCAGCAGGAGUUGGAUCUAGAGCAGCUACUACAAUGCAAGAAGUAGCUAGAGAAGGAGUUCCAAGUGUAUCAGCGGUUAGUGGGAACCCAGGAACUGAAAAUACGGGGAAAAUAACAACCACCACUAUUGCACCAGGAACACUAUCACCAAAUAGUAUUGGUAGGGAGGGAAGCAAAUGCCCCACCCCGGGUUGUACGGGUCAAGGACACGUCACGGGACUUUAUUCACACCACAGAAGUCUUUCUGGAUGUCCGAGAAAGGACAAAGUUACACCAGAAAGUGGUUGUCAAACUGAGUUUUCUCCCAGCUACGAAGGAAAAAGGACUCCGACGUCAGAGGACGUUAAACCCAACUACUUAGUAAACUACGGAAAUCCACCCCCGCCUACAUCUUCUUCUUCAUCGGAAGAGAUUAAACCAAACUACGACCAAUACUACAGCAAACCCACACCAGUCAAACCCGAUCCUAUGAAAAUUCCCAAAACUGAAGUUACGACCACCAGUUGUUGUAGUGUCAGUGCUCAAGGGGAAUUAUUAGUACCAAAAACAGAAAUGCCCAGUUCUUGUAGGUCGCCCCCUUCAGGAAUAAGGUCAGCAUACGAACCGUAUAUGAAUCAAGACUCAAAUUCAUCGUCUAUGUCCAGUAUGGACGCCAUGAACUCAAGGAAUCAACACCAAAUACACCAUAAUACAUCUCAUAUGGGACCUCAUCAUAAUCCACAACAACCUGGGUACAGUAUGGAACACCAAAUGCCUCAUAGGUCUCCGUACCACCAGUCGCCUAUGUCAGAGGAGAUGUAUACCAGGGAGCGAUCGUACGCAGAGAUGAACGAACCCAUAGGUCCAAACAGUAUUGCAAGACCAGUAGUCACAUAUUCUAAUGAAAUAGCAAGGCCUUACGAAUCAGGUUUAAUAAAUUCUGCAGGACACCGACCGUAUGAUCCUGGUACCAACAGUUUUGAAAGAUACGAUUCCAGCCAAUGUGUGUCUCUUCAACAGCCCUUGGGUCCUGCAAGGGUGCCACCGCAGGGUAUGUACGGAUAUAUCGAUGAUCAACAGGAACAGAGGUACCAACAGGAGGCUGCAGCAGCGCAACAGCAUCAAAUUGCAGUUGCUAAUGCCCAAAGUAUGAUGAAGACAGAAGAACCUGAAUCAACUGGACCGUUAUAUCCAAGACCAAUGUAUCAGUAUGAUGCCUCCAGCGGAGCUCCCCUUCCAGUUGGCUUUUCAGCAAUUAACUUAUCUGUGAAAUGUGUGACAACGGCUCACGCUGCUCAAAUGAAGGGUCCGCACACGUCCCCAGGGGGCACCGUUAUCGAUUUGUCGACGUCCAGUGUCACCACUACUAGUCCACAGGUAGCGUACAGCUCGCCGCAUUAUGGAGGAGCAGGCCAAAGGGUCGGAGGCAGCCCCCAAGCGGCGGCGAGUCCGCACCUUUCGGCAAGUCCGCAAGUCCCGAGUCCUCAGGGACAAACGCUGGACCUCAGCAUUAGUAGGUUGUCUCACAGUGGGGUACGACCUGUAGCGUCAUUUGCAUCAACGCCUGGAGGAGGACCAGUACUAGCUCCUGGUGCAGGAUAUAGCAGAGAAUCAACUCCUGACAGUGGCGGAAGUCAUUAUAUGGAUGCUUACCGGGAUCCUGCAGGUUAUGGUCCUAUGAGUCCCCAUCCUGGAUAUGGUAUGACGACAGUAGCCAGUGAUUAUGCCUCAAACCCCUACUCACCUUACCCACCAAGUGGAUACUCAUGUGCCGGUGGAUAUCCUGGACCCGUUACAACAGGUUACCCAGUUCCCCCAGGCGGUUAUUCACCAAGUACUUGUUAUUCCAUGCCACCGCCCCAACACUCAUUAUCGCAACAUGAUAAGUCGCCCAACAAGGACAGUCUGUCAGGAUGUCCACGAGCGGAUCGUUCACAAAUUCAACCCCAUUCUCAAGAACUGAAAUGCCCAACGCCGGGAUGCGACGGUUCAGGUCACGUCACAGGCAAUUACAGUUCACACAGAAGUUUAUCUGGAUGUCCUAGAGCUAACAAACCAAAGAGUAAGCCCAGAGAUGGCCAGGACUCCGAACCCCUGAGAUGCCCGAUACCGGGCUGUGAUGGAUCUGGCCAUGCAACUGGAAAAUUUUUAUCACAUAGAAGCGCGUCUGGAUGCCCUAUAGCAAACAGAAACAAAAUGAGAGUUUUGGAGAGCGGUGGAUCCGUUGAGCAACACAAAGCUGCCGUGGCUGCUGCAACGGCAAUGAAGUUCGAAGGGGUUAACUGCCCAACGCCGGGGUGUGACGGAACUGGACAUAUAAACGGUUCUUUUUUAACGCAUCGGUCCCUCAGUGGAUGUCCUGUAGCGGGUCAGACAGUGAAGAAGUCCAAAUAUCCGGAGGAUAUGCCUUUUUAUACUAAGGGAUAUACAGACGUCUUCUUGCAGGUAUAGAACAGGGACCUAAUGGCGGAGAAGACCUUAUGACCUUGGAGGCGGAGAUAUCCGAAUUACAAAGAGAAAAUGCAAGAGUUGAGUCUCAGAUGAUCAAACUGAAAUCGGAUAUAAACGCAAUGGAAAAUCACUUGGGCCAAAACGAAAAAGAAACCCAGGCGCUAUCGCAACGUUCCAACAACCUGAACGAGUACUACGAGAGUCUACGUAACAAUGUCAUUACACUUCUGGAGCAUGUUCGACUGCCCGGUG
rnacentral:misc_RNA from 1 species